CACACACCCCUAUUUGAAAAUGAAGAUGAAAAGUCACCAAAGUUUGAAGGUAAACAAAUGAAAGCAGAAUCUGAAUUUCUAAAGGAACAUUGACGAAAAUCGAUUUCAAGACCCGACUUCUUCUUUCUCUGGUUUGUGCAAGCUGUGGAAGUAGAGUUCAUGGUUUUUGUGUGCUGAUUUUCAUUGUUGUGUUGCUGGUCUGCUGAGUUCUUCUUCGUUUUUUGAGGUCUGAAUUGCUAAUUGUUGCUGAAGCAUUUCGCUCUAUUUUGUUUUUCAGUCGAGCCGUUCUCGCUCUUGCUUCAAACAGGUGCGUUACAAAAGGUUCUUUUGCAUGUGAGGUAGAAUAAAUUGAAGUGGGAAUGGAGUGUGUGGUUCAGGGGAUUAUUGAGACUCAAGUAAGUACACUGAGCGAUGACAAAAUCUCUCGCUGUCUCUUUUCUUUACUCUAAUAGUUAGGAAGCAUGUUGAGG